UAAGGUUGGGGUCUCAGAAGUCAGUGUUCCUGGGAUUUCUCCAUCACAACCAGGGCUCUGGUUCUCCUCAUCAUCCUCACUCAGGGCACAGAUGA
rnacentral:pre_miRNA from 1 species